GAUGGGCCUAACGUUCGUUAUGAGAAAACAAAUCAAGUUGUUCUUCAACAAGGACUCCAGGCGGCCGUUGGCAGGUUCAAUGGUGUUAGGCUUGUCGAGUAUGCAGUAGCGGAGAGCACUCUUAUUCCGAAAUCUUCAUCAGCAUUUGAGGAAAAUGAAGACAUGCCGUAUUACGUGAUGUUCUUAGAGCUGGACCAAGAUGAUACUUCAAAUGAAAAUAAAGAGUUUGCAGUUACAAAUGCUAACGAAAUUACAACUGUAAUCGACAAAGAGUUAUGUGAACGCAACAGUGACUACAAGAAACUUCGUAGAGAUGGCUCCAUAUCACGCCCUCGCGUUCACAUCAUGAAAGCUGGCGCCUUUGAACAAUUGAGACAACGCGUGAUACAGACCACUAGCACUACUGCAAACCAGUACAAAGUGCAACGAAGAAUUCGAAGUGUGGACACUCUCAGCUUUAUGUAUACUCACGUGUUUGAUAGUUCUACAACGAAUUAACACUAUGAUUUAAGAAAUGAUCGAGAUAUUUGCACCGGAGGACUGCUUCUUUACCGGCGUAAUCUAUACAUGUAUCUAGCCGUAAUUUGUGAUGUCCCCGAAUGACGUAAUACCGUGUAAGU